GCACUGCUGACGAGUCCCCCCAAACAGGACGAGACAGCUGUCCAGUGC
rnacentral:hammerhead_ribozyme from 1 species